rnacentral:rRNA from 1 species
AGAGUUUGAUCCUGGCUCAGAACGAACGCUGGCGGCGUGGAUAAGACAUGCAAGUCGAACGAGAGAAUUGCUAGCUUGCUAAUAAUUCUCUAGUGGCGCACGGGUGAGUAACACGUGAGUAACCUGCCCCCGAGAGCGGGAUAGCCCUGGGAAACUGGGAUUAAUACCGCAUAGUAUCGAAAGAUUAAAGCAGCAAUGCGCUUGGGGAUGGGCUCGCGGCCUAUUAGUUAGUUGGUGAGGUAACGGCUCACCAAGGCGAUGACGGGUAGCCGGUCUGAGAGGAUGUCCGGCCACACUGGAACUGAGACACGGUCCAGACACCUACGGGUGGCAGCAGUCGAGAAUCAUUCACAAUGGGGGAAACCCUGAUGGUGCGACGCCGCGUGGGGGAAUGAAGGUCUUCGGAUUGUAAACCCCUGUCAUGUGGGAGCAAAUUAAAAAGAUAGUACCACAAGAGGAAGAGACGGCUAACUCUGUGCCAGCAGCCGCGGUAAUACAGAGGUCUCAAGCGUUGUUCGGAAUCACUGGGCGUAAAGCGUGCGUAGGCUGUUUCGUAAGUCGUGUGUGAAAGGCGCGGGCUCAACCCGCGGACGGCACAUGAUACUGCGAGACUAGAGUAAUGGAGGGGGAACCGGAAUUCUCGGUGUAGCAGUGAAAUGCGUAGAUAUCGAGAGGAACACUCGUGGCGAAGGCGGGUUCCUGGACAUUAACUGACGCUGAGGCACGAAGGCCAGGGGAGCGAAAGGGAUUAGAUACCCCUGUAGUCCUGGCAGUAAACGGUGCACGCUUGGUGUGCGGGGAAUCGACCCCCUGCGUGCCGGAGCUAACGCGUUAAGCGUGCCGCCUGGGGAGUACGGUCGCAAGAUUAAAACUCAAAGAAAUUGACGGGGACCCGCACAAGCGGUGGAGUAUGUGGCUUAAUUCGAUGCAACGCGAAGAACCUUACCUGGGCUUGACAUGUAAUGAACAACAUGUGAAAGCAUGCGACUCUUCGGAGGCGUUACACAGGUGCUGCAUGGCCGUCGUCAGCUCGUGUCGUGAGAUGUUUGGUUAAGUCCAGCAACGAGCGCAACCCCUGUUGCCAGUUACCAGCACGUGAAGGUGGGGACUCUGGCGAGACUGCCCAGAUCAACUGGGAGGAAGGUGGGGACGACGUCAGGUCAGUAUGGCCCUUAUGCCCAGGGCUGCACACGUACUACAAUGCCCAGUACAGAGGGGGCCGAAGCCGCGAGGCGGAGGAAAUCCUAAAAACUGGGCCCAGUUCGGACUGUAGGCUGCAACCCGCCUACACGAAGCCGGAAUCGCUAGUAAUGGCGCAUCAGCUACGGCGCCGUGAAUACGUUCCCGGGUCUUGCACUCACCGCCCGUCA